UACGGAAGGCAGCAGUGGGGAAUAUUGCACAAUGGGCGCAAGCCUGAUGCAGCCAUGCCGCGUGUAUGAAGAAGGCCUUCGGGUUGUAAAGUACUUUCAGUCGUGAGGAAGGUGUUAAGGUUAAUAACCUUAGCAAUUGACGUUAGCGACAGAAGAAGCACCGGCUAACUCCGUGCCAGCAGCCGCGGUAAUACGGAGGGUGCGAGCGUUAAUCGGAAUUACUGGGCGUAAAGGGCACGCAGGCGGUUAAUUAAGUUGGAUGUGAAAUCCCCGGGCUUAACCUGGGAAUGGCAUUCAAGACUGGUUAGCUAGAGUCUUGUAGAGGGGGUAGAAUUCCAUGUGUAGCGGUGAAAUGCGUAGAGAUGUGGAGGAAUACCGGUGGCGAAGGCGGCCCCCGGACAAAGACUGACGCUCAUGUGCGAAAGCGUGGGGAGCAAACAGGGAUUAGAUACC
rnacentral:rRNA from 1 species